rnacentral:lncRNA from 1 species
GAGCAGUGUAACUGCUAAGAGCACAGGUUCUGGAGCCAGCCUGCUCAGACAUGAAUCUCAGCUCAUGCGUUUCCUGUGUAUGACCUGGUCAACUUUCUUAACCUCUCCGUGCCUCCAUUUCCUUAUUUUCAAAUGGGGUCCAUCUCAUUUGGAUGAUAUGAGAAUUAAAUGCGUUGAUAAACAACUAUAGAUCAUUGAAACGUUUUCUGGAUGGUAUUAGACAAGUGAGUUUUUAAAGAGUGAUAUUUUGGGAGAGUCUCAUCUCUCAGUCAAACCAGGGCAACUAUCUUCAAAGGUUUUAUAAAUUAGGCAUCUGUGUAACAUUUCAUUUGAAGAAAAGUUUCUACUGCAUAUGCAAACAAACACAAGAAGUUUAAAUAUCAAGGCUUCUGGCUUCGUAUAAGAGAAUAGUUUCUUGAUUAAAAUUAUGUCUAAACUCAGGCAGAUUGGAUCAUACCUGGCUACGAUCUAUACUCUUACAGAAUCAUCAUGGAUGAUGGAACUGUCCACAAGACUGAGAAAAUCCCCAGGCUCCAAUGGCAGAGGUGCACCAGAGUGGCUGAGAGGCAGAGUGGAGCAGCAGAAAAGGAGAGAAGAGAAGAAGCAGCCAGACAUCAGAGAGAAGCAGCUUGACUUCAGAGGGAAGUUUGACAGUGGGACUUUGGAGAAGAGUUCAGCUGAGGAUGGCCAACUCUGCGCCUGAUUCUUCCUGAACACCAGACAAGAACUCGAGUACCAAGAGGGUGGGUGCAAAAGACUGUCACCCUGAUGCUCCACUAAGCUGUUAAACACUUAAACCAUCCAUGGGUGACAAAGCUAAAAGAAAACACUGUAACACACAGCCUCUGGGGCUUCAGGGGUCACAGGUAGCCUACUAGAUGCUGCUGUGGGGCCUCAUGGAGUUCUACUGCUGCCAAUGCCCAGAAGCACUCCUCCCGGUCCCUGCCCCUGCUCACCUGCAUGCUCUCCCUCGCCUGCCCCCCACCCCCCAUGAGGGGUUGAGAGCUGCAGGCUGAGUAAAGGAGCCAACCCCUUUGUGAUCCCCGCAAAGGGGUCAAGGGAACUAUCCCGUGUUUCCCUGGCAGUAAUGGGUAUUAAUAAAUUAAAAUAAGUACUUGCUAAAGAUGAAAUAUAUUUG